AUGUCCAGGAUAGUCUCCAAACACCUUGGCCCAACCCGCCGGUUCUUCUUCCGCGGCAGCGACCUAGGCCCCCAGGCGGAGAGCUGGUUCCAGUCCCCAGCCCUGGCCAACCUGGAGGAGCUCGACAUUAAGCUCCUCCCUGCAGGACCCGAGGAGAGAUUCUCGCUGCCACCAUCCGCUCUCUCCUCCCCGGCCCUCCUGGUUGUCAAGAUCGCCUAUUGUUCUAUCCCCGACGAGAUCUCCAUGGACUUCCCAGUCCUCAAGCACAUCUCCUUGCUUGACGUUUCCAUCUCCGGGGACGUGUUCCACGGCUUGCUCUCUGCAUGCUGCGCCUUGGAGAGCUUUUAUAUGUCCAAUGUUCAUGCUGCGGAUUGCCUCCGUGUCAGUUCGCCGACUCUUAGGAGCAUUGGCUUCAGCGAAAAAUAUUGUGGGAAAUCAGAACUCAUCAUUGAGGAUGCUCCUCUCCUUGUGAGGUUCAUUUUACCUUAUACUUAUAAUCACGAUGCUGAUAAUUGUGUGGCCAUCCGGGUAGUUAGGGCGCCAAAACUCAAGAUAUUGGGCCCUUUAUUCGCCAUCUCCAGGAUUGUCUCCCAGGUACGUAGCAGCGGCAGCAUCCUUGACCUUGCAUUUGGCACUCCUGCAUGGAGAUAA
rnacentral:rRNA from 1 species